rnacentral:rRNA from 1 species
GUCCACGCUGUAAACGAUGAGUGCUAGACGUUGGGAGACUCAGUCUCUUGGUGUCGCAGCUAACGCAUGAAGCACUCCGCCUGGGGAGUACGGCCGCAAGGUUAAAACUCAAAGGAAUUGACGGGGGCCCGCACAAGCGGUGGAGCAUGUGGUUUAAUUCGACGCAACGCGCAGAACCUUACCAGCUCUUGACAUGGGGGUUAUGGGACCGAGCGAUUGGUCUCUUCAGUUCGGCUGGGCCCCACACAGGUGCUGCAUGGCUGUCGU